rnacentral:rRNA from 1 species
AGGACGAACGCUGGCGGCGUGCUUAACACAUGCAAGUCGAACGAGGUGCUUCGGCACUUAGUGGCGAACGGGUGAGUAACACGUGAGCAACCUGCCCUUGGCUCUGGGAUAGCCUCCGGAAACGGGGAUUAAUACCGGACAUGACCUUCCCCGGCAUCGGGGUUGGUGGAAAGUUUUUCGGCCAGGGAGGGGCUCGCGGCCUAUCAGCUUGUUGGGGGGUAACGGCCCACCAAGGCGACGACGGGUAGCC